UGGAAAUGCAGUGGCGGUCUCGGUUUCUCGUGCUUUGGGCUAUUCUCUAGGUAUGACUUUCCGUGGUCUAGCCGGUGACGAGAAUAUGAUAAAACUUCCCCAGAAGUUUUCUCAUUCAAGUUACCUUCAGCUUCAAGAAUCCAUUCCUCACUAAAAUUAUGUAGUUGUACGACUUGGAAAGUCAAUAGCAGCAGAAAUGUUGUACCUUUUACCAUUUAUUUCUCUACACGAGGGUUGAGCUAAACGAAGACGUUCUGAGCUCAAACUCUUAUCAAUUUUUCUCAUCAAACUACAAAUUUUGUUGAUUAGUUAUGGCUGAUAAAACCAUGUUUAAUUUUUUUAAAAAAAUUUCUUUCAUUUUACAUGUGUUUAGUGUAAGCUUGAAGUAAACCCACUAUGCUUAUUUUUAUUCAAAAAGAGACUUUAAAAUGAUUUGAGCUCAUAAAGGCGUGAACCUAGCGCUAAUGACAAGGGCCAAUGACUAAUAGGAAAAAAAUUACAACAAUUAAAAACCAAGGAUAACAAAUGCCUUGGCUUUGAAUGCUUUGGUUAAAAGGAAAACCCGUGGGAUCUCUUUAUCUUACAGCUUCUAUGGCUUAUUAGUCUUCUAACAACUCCUUUGGUAAUACCAAAUUGGUAUGUACCAAAUCCUUAUAAAGCCUAGAGGCAUGUAAUCAUUGUCCCUUCAAUGCCAUUGUAAACUUGGCUACUCUAUGCCAAUGAAUGGGUCGAUUACCAAGCAAAAUAGAAGUUGCACAUUGUAACGAGAUAUGUAAUAAACUAUUUUUUUUCACUAUGAAUUGAUAUUACAAAAAUAAAAAAAAAGAUGUAUCGAAACAAAGAUGGGAAAAGAAAAGAAGACGUGAUAAAGAAUUGACCAUUUCAAAGAGCAACCAAACACUUUUAUGUGACAGAAAAUAUAUGAAAGUUUGAUGGUAAUUUUUUCUGAAGUGGUUGUUAAGGAGUCAAUACACUAUUUUAUUAAUCUGACUCCAGAUUCGGAACUAUAGCCGAAGAGAGCUCUAUAUGCGAAACCCGAACCGCACCGAUGAGCCUUUCCGGCAACUCCUCCGGUGUAUUUGCCUGCAAAACCGAACCAUAUUUGUUUUAUACAUUAUAACAGUAACCCCAACUACUUGAGCAAAAAAAAACAUAUGAUAUUAUGUGUCCGUUUGUUACCUACCUGUACAAGGAAAGCCAUUUCGACAACCAACGAUGUGAUUACACCAAUGACGAGACCCAGAACUCCAUUUGCAACAGUUGAUGAACCAAUAUCCACGUCGAUCUAACAAAUGAACACGAUACAAUCAUUGUGUUAUUAAUGUUUACAGAGAGAGCUUUCAUAUUCAAUGCAUGUUCACUCACUUCUAAGUAUGUCGGGCCACGAAUGUAGUUGCAGUCCACUGCUUUCCCGAGGAGACAUGGGGUGCUUCCCACGCUUUGCCGUACUAUCCAUGACCCCUGUUAUAGAUUUCGGUUAUAAUAUGGAAAAAAAUAAUGUGAAUAUAUACUUGCAGUAGUAAUCACACAAACAAAGAGAGAUAAAACAUACCUUAGGAACUUGAGGUAUAAGCUUUAGCCGGCUAUUUCGAAAUUCAUCGUCACCAUCAACAAAACGUUGCAACAGGGACCCAGGUACAAGUUCUUUCGUCACGAAAUAAAACACCAUACUGUAGUGUGUUGACCCCGGAACCUAUUAUUGAAAAAAACAGUUUUAAACGUGUAUAAAUAUGACUUUGUGGUUUGUGCAUUACGUUUAGAAUCUUAAUAAUAGUUUGGGGCCAAACUUACUUGAACAUUAACCACCAUCGAGAAUAGACCUUUCUCUGCAGCAACCUGAACAUUGUUUAUCGAAAGACUCAAUAAUCUUUCAUGGAGAUUUCUUUCUAAGCGAUAAAGAUGAAUCCACAAGCAAGAGUAUAAAUAACAUAGGAAGUAUUUGAAUAUUCUUACUUGUGCUGCGCAGCCUUUACGCCUAGCCACAUGAUCUAUUCUUUUACUGUCUUUGAACCAGUCGACAGCAACCAGAUCCAUAAGAUGCUUCCCAGCAGGAAUCUUCAGUACAGCAUUAAACGGACAGGAACAGAAGUUAGCCGGAAUGUAAGAACCCAACCAUUCAGCAAUUAGCAAGACAAAAGGUUUACUGACCUUUCUUUUAUCGUCACAGAAACUCUUGCUACGAACUUUGAAGUUGCUCCCGUCAGAAGUCCUCCAGCAGUUACGAGCAUUUUCAUUUUCAUUUCGCUUUAGAUUACCCGAAAAGCAUGAUAGAUCAAUGUUGUGAGCAGGUUCUUCUUCUGAAACCGCAUAAGAAACCAUCGGAGGUAUUAGAUAAGCCUAAUGAGCUCGAAGUAGGAAGCUUAAACUUAAUGAUAGGGUGCUCACCUGUUUUCUUGACAUCAGUCUCUGUUUUACUUGUUUCAGGCUGAAACAGUACACAAGAAUAACUAUUCAAUUCCAGAUGAUGCUUAAUAUUAGAAAAAAAAACCUAAAUGCUCAGUAUUUAAACCUCUUGUUCUGAUUCAGCGAUCUGAAACUCAUCAUCAUCAUCUGAGUCUUCAUCCAGGAGCACGGAGUUUCUGUUGGCAGAGUUUGUUUGAUCAAUAGAAAAUGCAGACUGGUGCACAGACCUUCCGCUCUUACUCAAGCUCAAGGAGGAAGAUGCCAUAUUAACCAUAACAGGGAUCCUGGUAUGAACACCUCUCUCAUCUGUCUGUGAAAACCAUUCCCGCAAACCUGCCAUGAGCACGAGACAAUGUAUUACAACGGAUGCUAAUAAAUUAGCCAGUGGAUUUCUUUUGAAAGAAAGCAUGAAAGAGCUUACCAGCAACACUGUUCAGCAUUUGAAGAAGACAAUGUUGUUGAAAUGCUGGAAGAUAGCCUGCACCCCACCCUUUUAGAUCAAUUUGUAUUAGGUGUUGCACCUGUGUUCUAGGCCUCCCAUUUCGGGGCUUUAGCGGGGCAAUAUUAUAUCCUCCACCUAAGUUUAACAAAAGUAGGACGGGUUAGAUAGUAGUAGAUCCACGAUCAUAUUAAGCGUUCAGACAUUCUUUGAGUUUGCUAAGCUUACUCUCGAGAUGAGCACGGACACAUCCAGGUUGUGGACCACAAUUAUCAUGCUCCCUAGAACGGAACAGCACAACUUCACAGAAAGAGCGAGAUAAAUAACCAACAAGCUAAUGUAAAACAAUAUUUACAGAUUAUAGCAUGAGUAAAGGGGGAAAGGAAGGUACCAUAACUCCCAUCAUCAUUACGUCGCCAAUAGCGGACAUAACAUAGGUCACGAGGCCCUUCAUUUUCAGAAAUGGGCUAUUGACCAGAAUUUGGCUGCCUGUGAGAGCUUGAAACUGAACCAUCCACAGACGCAGGUCAGAAUACUUUUGGUGCCAACUGCUAGUUCAUUUUAAGGAGAAUGAUGCCAAAUCUGAUGUUGCUGUCUUUGUUUACAGGUUAGGAAUGACUCUGCUGGAGAUUUCCUCCAACUUUUGAAGGAGUGGGGUAAAUUAUGCAAGCGCUAUGUGCGUAACAAUGGUCAUACAACUGAUACAUUAAACCCCGAAAAUUCAACAAAGGAAGCCACUGAAAGUAGCUCUUCUACUGAAGAUGAUUCAGAACCUGAGGAGUACGAAGUUGAAAAGCUGGUUGAUAUAUGCUAUGGUGAUCCUGACAAGACAGGAGAACGUGGCCUAAAGUUUAAGGUAUGGCAAGAGGACAUGUCACAAUUUUGUUGUUGAUCGACUUUACUCUUUAGUCUUUACGGGUUUAAGAAUGUUCUUUUCACCUUCUACAACUUGCAAGAUAGAUAUUCUUCAUGUCUUUGCUCUCUUGCGACAUAGAAUUUAUGCUCAUGACUAUUUUAUCAGGUGCACUGGAAAGGAUAUAGCAGCAACGAAGAUACUUGGGAGCCAGCAAAGGAAUUGAGGUAUAUGAUUUAAAUUAAUGCUAAAAAGGGUCUCUGUUGUUUAUCCCGAUCUAAUUAAUAUUGUUUGAAAUUUUAGCAAUUGUCAAGAUGCCAUCCGGGAGUUUGUAACAAGUGGAUUCAAGAAGAAUAUCUUGCCACUUCCUGUAAGAUCGUUUCCUUUCAUCUAAAUUGAAUGUUUGAUCUUUGAAAAUUGUAUGAGUGUAGUACCAUCAACAUCUUAUUUCACUGAAAUCAGAAAAUUUUGUAAAUGAAUGUUAAUCCAGGGCGGUGUUGGCGUGAUAUGUGGUGGACCUCCAUGUCAAGGAAUUAGUGGCUAUAACCGCUUCAGGGAUGUUGAUUCUCCGUUGACUGAUGAAAGGAAUCAGCAAAUUGUAGUUUUCAUGGACAUAGUUGAGUAUCUGAAACCCAAAUUCGUGUUGAUGGAAAACGUUGUUGAUAUUCUGCGUUUGGACAAAGGUUCUCUUGGGAGGUACGCUUUGAGCCGUCUUGUGGACAUGAGAUACCAAGCGAGGCUAGGUAUCAUAACAGCUGGUUGCUAUGGUCUUUCCCAAUUUCGUUCCCGAGUUUUCAUGUGGGGAGCUGAUCCAAACAUGGUGAGUUUAUUAUAUGCCUACUUUUAACUUCCUCCUCCUGACUGUUUCCACGUUAAAAAUAAUUUGGUAUUAUAUUCCAGAAACUGCCUCCGUUUCCGCUUCCAACCCAUGAUGUUAUUGUCAGAUAUGGGUUUCCUCUCGAGUUCGAGGUAACAUUACUGUAAACUGGUGAUUACUUCGUACUCUUUGCCUGAGCCCUGGCGUUCUCCCAACUCAACCCAUCUUGGCUUUCAUGUUUCAGAGGAAUGUAGUUGCUUACAGUGAAGGUCAGCCCAGAGAUGUUGAAACAGCUCUUGUUCUAAAAGAUGCGAUAUCAGAUCUUCCUCAUGUAAGUUUCAUAUCCAUUAGAUCCAUGUGCAGUUCAGGGUUAAUCCCAUAGAUUUCUAAUUUUCUUUCAUUUCACAACUCUAGGUGUCAAACAACGAAACCCGGGAAAGAAUGUCCUAUGAAAGUCUCCCAGAGACAGAUUUCCAGAGAUACAUUAGAUCAACCAAACACGGUAAGUUGGACCUGUCUGGAAUUUUAGAAUUAAGAGUCUCAGAAAUGACUACUCACUCGCAUAUUCCAUAAGUUACUCAGGCGUUAGCGUUUUGCUUUGUCAGAUAUGACUGGCUCUGCGACUGAUAACUGUACAAAAAGGACGAUGCAACUGUAUGAUCACAGGCCGUCCCUUUUGUCUGAAGAUGAUUAUAACCGAGUUUGUCAAAUCCCAAAGAAGAAGGUAGUCACUUCUUUCUACUAACCAGUAUUCCGGCAGAGCAACAUUCUCACCGUAGAUAAUUUUGCAGGGAGCUAAUUUCAGGGAUCUUCCAGGGUUAAUCGUCAGAAACGACAAUACAGUCUGCCGUGAUCCAUCAAUGGAACCUGUCCUUCUGCCAUCAGGAAAACGUUUGGUAAAGACUCCUCUUAUAUAAGUAGAACCAUAUCAAAAAAUGUAGCUAUUGACAUGCUACUUGUUAAGUCUGCUGAUUGAACACUUGUAGAAAUUUUAGAAACGAAUAUAUGUAUAUAAAAUCAGCUGACGUGUGGCCCUCUUUAGGUACCAGAAUAUGUCUUUACUUUUCAGCAAGGGAAAUCUAAAAGGUAAUUUUCUUGAAACAAUUUGUUGAGCAUUCCUAUGUGUUUCUAAGUCUCUCUGGAUUUCUGGUAUGGCAGACCGUUUGCGCGUCUUUGGUGGGACGAAACAGUUCCAACCGUUCUGACAGUCCCCAGCUGCAGCAAUCAGGUAUCCUUAAACUCACCACCCAUGUAGAUCUCACUUGAAACCCAUCUUUUAUGUUCUUUAACAUUCAGUUUUCGCUAUUUACAGGCGUUUUUGCAUCCAGAGCAAGAUCGAAUACUAACCAUAAGAGAAGCCGCACGGCUUCAAGGUUUCCCUGAUUACUUCCAGUUCUGUGGAACCGUUAAACAAAGGUACUUUACUUGUUUUCUUUUGUAAAAAAGUCUAAAAAAAAAUAGCAGAGAUAAUAGUGUGACAGAUUCCUUAGCGAAUCUCACUCACUGCUUUUGGUUUUGUACAGGUACUGUCAGAUUGGAAAUGCAGUGGCGGUCUCGGUUUCUCGUGCUUUGGGCUAUUCUCUAGGUAUGACUUUCCGUGGUCUAGCCGGUGACGAGAAUAUGAUAAAACUUCCCCAGAAGUUUUCUCAUUCAAGUUACCUUCAGCUUCAAGAAUCCAUUCCUCACUAAAAUUAUGUAGUUGUACGACUUGGAAAGUCAAUAGCAGCAGAAAUGUUGUACCUUUUACCAUUUAUUUCUCUACACGAGGGUUGAGCUAAACGAAGACGUUCUGAGCUCAAACUCUUAUCAAUUUUUCUCAUCAAACUACAAAUUUUGUUGAUUAGUUAUGGCUGAUAAAACCAUG
rnacentral:lncRNA from 1 species